CUUGCUGGAGUACUCGAGUGGCGAACGGGUGAGUAACACGUGGGUAAUCUGCCCUGCACUCUGGGAUAAGCCUGGGAAACUGGGUCUAAUACUGGAUAUGACCUUUCUCCUUAUGGGGUUUGGUGGAAAGUUUUUCGGUGCAGGAUGAGCCCGCGGCCUAUCAGCUUGUUGGUGGGGUGAUGGCCUACCAAGGCGACGACGGGUAGCCGGCCUGAGAGGGUGAUCGGCCACAUUGGGACUGAGAUACGGCCCAGACUCCUACGGGAGGCAGCAGUGGGGAAUAUUGCACAAUGGGCGGAAGCCUGAUGCAGCGACGCCGCGUGAGGGAUGACGGCCUUCGGGUUGUAAACCUCUUUCAGCAGGGACGAAGCGUAAGUGACGGUACCUGCAGAAGAAGCACCGGCUAACUACGUGCCAGCAGCCGCGGUAAUACGUAGGGUGCGAGCAUUGUCCGGAAUUACUGGGCGUAAAGAGCUCGUAGGCGGUUUGUCACGUCGUCUGUGAAAUCCUAGGGCUUAACCCUGGACGUGCAGGCGAUACGGGCUGACUUGAGUACUACAGGGGAGACUGGAAUUUCUGGUGUAGCGGUGGAAUGCACAGAUAUCAGGAAGAACACCGAUGGCGAAGGCAGGUCUCUGGGUAGUAACUGACGCUGAGGAGCGAAAGCA
rnacentral:rRNA from 1 species